AAAAAAAAAACACUCCACCCCAAAUCAACAAAGGAACCACCUGAAUCUCUCAUAUGCCUGAAUUCCCCCGAUAUUAUCAUUAAAAUCCCCUUCAACAGUGCUGCUGCUGCUGAUGAGACAUCUCUGCCAGUUUUACUACUGCAUAGUUACUGAACUUAGGGAAAAGGAAGCAAAGGAUGUUCCUGGCAAUACAAUUAAUUUUAAAACAAACUGUUUGGUAGCACAGCUAAUAAUAUUGCACUGAUAAUUCCCAUUCUGCAGAGAGCACAGUGAGCAGCUGUGCCAUUUAGCGCAAGGUACUAACUCAAAACCUGCCAGUCUUGGGCUGUGGGCAUCUGAAAAAGCAAUUCCAUCUACGUUGGACCUCUGGGCCCUAGAGUAACAUAACAAAGAUUCAGUUUGGAAAUUAUGAACAAACAGUGUAGGUUAAUGCAAUGUUUCCUUCUCUGCCCAGAGAGAUUAAGGCAAGGCUGAGUAGUUAUAACGUGUUAAUCACUGGCAACAGUGAUUCCAAAAUAAAUGGCUUUUAAGCCUCAUUUGUCUAAAUAUUUGAAAGCAUAGGAAGAGUGCUCCUCCAUCCCAUUAUUUACUUCCCAUGCUGCUGCUAAUAAAUAUCUUAUGUUUGUUGGAUGCCUUUCACAGUGGAGAGUUUGACUCCAGGAGGCUUGCAGUGGUUGUGGAUGGCGUGAAUGCAGCCAUCCCUGCAAUGCAGCCAGCCGGAAAGCUGAGAAAGUGCCAUGCAUUUCAGCAACAAGUGAACAAUUUCAGACAAAAUAACCAGAACGGGAACUUGCUCAAAGCUUCUUGUGCACUCUGUCCUGACAGUACACCAGCGUGUGCUGUACUGCUCUUGUUCUAGCCUUGCUUCCUGUUUCAGCAGCUUUAUGUUUUUUUGAAGUUAGGUGGAAACCGCUAGUUGCCUGAGAAGGCCUGGGGAGGCUCCAUUCCUAAAUGAGCACAGAUUUUGUGUUAUGCUACUCAGCACUGACUUUGGAUGUGUUGCACCCUUAUUUCCUUACAAACGGGUAUUCUGAUCCUUCCUACAGCACGUGCAGGUUUUGGUGCCUUAGGAUGGGGCCAAGUUGCCUCACUCAAGCAACUUUCACUCCUUUGGACGAUGCUUAGAUUUGGGAUGUAUCUCAGAGCUUAAUGCCUUCAUCUCCUUUAAGAGCUCAAAUUGCAAGGACCAAAUCUUCAAGGAACAUGUGUUCCCUGUGUUCCCCACAGCAGGGGGAUGGCAGCGGGGCUCCCUGUGACACCCCUGGAGUAGUACAGUUGCUCAUAAUGGCAAUGUGGGAUCAAGCUGUGUGUGGCACCUGCUGCCCUGUGCUGGCAGGCCCUGUUGCCUGAACCAUGGCUGCACGGUAACAGCGAGAGCAUCCCUCAUUUUCCUCCUUGUUUCUUUUAAAGUGAGCAUAAAUUUUGCAGCGUAUCCCUAGCAAGUAGUCACCAUGUUUGAGACUGGUGUAUUUAUUUAAUGGCCUGUACAAUUUAGAAGCUUUGUUUCAUGUAUUCAGGGUUGAAAGCCUUCCCUUGAUAAUGAUUUUUUUUUCAUGCUUUGUGUAUCGUGUUGCUGUGUGGUGCGUGCUGCUGGCUAUCCGGCUGAGUAGUGAUCCAGUCCCUCUGCUGCGCUGAGGUGCAGUGAUUCAUAAGCAUCCCACACCUACACUGAGACCAAAUUGAUUAACGUGGCACUUCCAGUCUGCAGCUAUGGUGGGGGUUGUUACAUUCUGGCUACUGGAGAAUCUACUGUGGUUGGUGCUGCUGCGAUCAGCUGAGCACGUUGCUGAUAAGAGAUUGUGGGCUUCCACCUGGAGAGGUGGUGAACUGUCAAAUAAUGAAGACAAAGUACAUGAAUUGUGCUGCUCCUGCUGUUGUGCUCUGUGUCUGUGCCACAUUGCAUCUUCCCUUUGCUAUUGCGUGUAUCGUGUCAUGCUGGUGACGCCCAGGUUUGUAACGUGGAUUUCUGGGAGGCUGAAAUAGCACUUGCAGGGCUGUUUGUACAGCUCUCUGCUGGGUCACACUCUUCGUUUUAUGAGGCAGAACUGUGGUCCUGAACCUCAGGUCGGUGUGCACCUGGGCGUGCAGGCCCUGUUUGCCCCGGGAAGAAGUGUGUGGUCUGCCCUGGUGUUCCCAGGCUAUUGAUGGGUCUGCUGGGACAGCAGGGUCACCUCUCGCUGCAGACUGCAGUGGGGAUCUGCCUUUCCCAUGGCUACCAGGGCUGAGCUCUUCAAGAGAGCCUGAAAGAAACAGCCUGUUCUCACUGAUUUCAGCUGCCUUCAGCUUCUUUGAAAAUCCCACUUCCCAUGUUUGAUGGUUACUGAUGCUGUCUCGGAUCUAAAAUUAGCAGAAGUUGCUCUUGCAAAGAGCCCCCAGGGGCUGUCUCAGUGGCUUUGCAUCAGUUAGCCGGAAUGCCAGCAUGCUGGAUGAGUGUGUGGUGUGCACCUGCAGCACUCUGUCCUGAGCAGCCCCUCCGAGCCCGCUCUCGCUGCCGCUGCUUGUUCUCUCAAUAGCGGAAUUACAAAGGCAGUUCCUGUAGUUCUGAAUGCGUACGUGCAGCUGUGCCGUCAGCAAGGAGUGUAUGUGGGUGAGCGGCUGAGGGAGUGUGAAUGAGUGAUGGAGCAGCGGUAAAUGCAGCAGAAGCUGUGGGUGGAAAGAGGAGGCUUGAAGCUGGCUCGCCCACCACUAUGUGUUCCCUACAAUGAUGUACACAAGCACAAAGAGGAGUGAGGAGUUUUCACUCCCCCAGCCUCUGGAAUUCGGGUUUGUUUCUGUCUUGGGCAUGCCUUUGUUUCUGUGAUCUCAGGGGGAAGUGCCCUGAUGCCGGUGUUUUUCCAAAGCAUGUUUGGAUUUCCCAAGCAAAUGUGCUGAGACUCCCAUGGCACAGCGUGUCUCACUAGGCUCCCUGCUGGGUAAUCAUAGAAUCAUAGAAUGUUUUGGGUUGGAAGGGACCUCAAAUAUCAUCCAUUUCCAACCUCCCUGCCAUGGGCAGGGUUGCCACCCACUAGAUCAGGCUGCCCAUGGCCCCAUCCAGCCUGGCCUUGAGCGCCUCCAGGGAUGGGGCAUCCACAACCUCACUGGGCAGCCUGUGCCAGUGCCUCACCACCCUCUGAGUAAGGAGUGCUUGGUGGUGUGAGAGCCGCUGAGUGACUGAGUCAGGUGUCCCAGUAUCCUGAAGCCAGAAGCAUUCAGCAAACAGACCCAUCAGUGUGGCACAAUGGACACGCAGUUGUUUCAUUGUCUGUUGAGUUUGGAAGUCAGUAUCUGGGGCCUGUCCCUGUUAAAAGGGAGCUCUCCAGUCCUGAGAUGGUUUUGUGUUGCUCCUGGCUGCAGCUGGGUGUGCAGAAUGGUAAGGGAAGAGAUUAAAAAUAAACCCUCAACCUCAGUGUUAGCUGCCUUGCCAUGGGGGUGGAUGCGUCCUUCAUGCCCGCUGGGAGGGCGGCUGGGCAGGAGGAGAAACGUGCGGGUGUGAUAUUGGCAUCUCUUCCUCCAGGCAUGUACUGAGCUUAGAUGGCAGGGGGCAGUGGCUGAGCUGUGCCUCAUGCAGGUGUGCAGCACUGGAUCAGGGCAGAGGAGGAGAGAGGCAGCCAUGGUGCAGAUCUCUGGGGUUGGGGGUUUGCGCUCUUUCCCAUAGCUGAGAAAAAUAACUUGCAGUAGCCCUAUCUACUCUCAUUAGGUUUGAUUGUGUGUGCGGUGGGGAAAAUAGCAAUGCAAAAUGCAACAAACCAAAUACCCAACAUGUACUCCAGGUGGCAGCUCUUUCAUAGCCCCUGGGCUGCACUGAGGAGUGCCCUCCCAGGGGCAUAGCAGCUUCCUCUUGAUCUGUGUUGAUACCGGAGCAAUAGGCCCGCGCUCUCCUGGACAUAAUUCAGCCCACGUGACUUGUCAGGAAUGCUAUUACCUUUCGCACUGCUAUUUUGCUGAAAUAUAAGGGGGCUGCUUAAAUGAGCCAGCUGUAGCUGUGUGUAAACUGGUGGGGCUUUGCUCAGCUCCAGCUGGAUGGGGGCCAGAUGGGCUAUGCAGGUCACAUUGCUGCUUUUCCUCGGUAGUGCCAUAAGCACUUUAAAUUAUGAGUUUGUGCAAUUACAACUGUUAAUCUGUGUUACUUCGUGUGAGUUAGAUGUCUUAGGUUCAAAGGUGAACGAUAGACCGGUCAUCCCACAAAAAGAGCGAUGGCAGGGUGACAGUGACCACCAGGUCUGGGUAACUUAGCACAUCUCCUGCCUGAAGCCUUGGAGCUGCAAAUGGGAAGCUAUUUUGUCCCUACCAUUGAAACGUCAGAAAUUUGUCACUGUUCCAGCCUUCAUCCAAUUAACUGUGGCCCUAAAGGGGGACUGAUGGCCACUCAGUCACUGUUCCGGAAAGGAAACGCAGAGAGAACAUCCCAGCACAAGGGGUAUGUAAGCCCUGGGUCCCAUGCAGGGGUUAAGCCAUCUUGUUUAGGUGGGGAAGGAAGCCUGUUUUGCAUCCACCAAUUAUGCGCUUACCUUGUUUUGCAACACGCCGCUGCCCCAGCUCCCCUUACAGGGCCGAGCAGUUGGGUUGUGCAGCACUGGGCUACAGGGAGAGCUACUUGCUGUUUUGAGGGAGCUGUUGCCUGGUGGGGUGGGGAUGGAAGAAGCAGAAGUGUGGCUUUCCCUGAGGCUAUACUGGGAAACCAACUUGUGCUCUAGAAAGCUCCUGUUGUUGGAGUCCUGCUCUCAGAUUAAUUCUGCAAAUGGUAUAUGUGUUUUUACUUUGCCAUGCCUCCAGCGUGCAGUUUUGUUUAUAGCACGUAUUCUUGCAAGGCAUACAAGGAGUCACAAGUGUGACAUCCAUAUGUAAAAUGGGCAAAGGAAAUGGGAACUGAAUUCAGAUCAACAUUCAGAAUGUGGAAUGUUGAUAAUGAUACUUCUGCUAAAAAUAAAUAAAUAAAUGAGGUAACUCAUAUCGUGUGACAGGAAGGGAGCUUGGUGCUCACCCUCACUCAGCAGGACACACCGACAGAAAGUACCCAAGGACAGAUGGUCCUGCUGAGAGUUUUUUGGUGCGUCUUUCCUCCAAGGCUCCUCUCACAAUGCAUUUGUGUCUUGUAAACUUCUACUUUAUGCGGGCAGGAGACAAUAAGGAUUUAUGUGGCAGUGAAAUGACCAGAACGGGACGCUGCCUCCUUCUUUUCUUUUCUUUUGCUCUGCUCUUACCUUCAUCUCAUGUUGAAAAAAUCUUCGGUCACUUUUGCCACAAGAGAUGGAUUAUGCUCUUGUGAUUCCUCCUUCCCGUCCUUUCAGCAGAUUGCUGCAUGCUCUGCAUAGGUGGCAGCAGUAAGCUUAAUUCUCGCUGGUAGAGGUUUUCCACACAUUAUUUUGUUUGUUCAGACAAUGAUGCGGUUCAGAUAUCCCAUAUGAGCAUGUCUUGUUCCACUUGCAUCUGCAAACAACCGCAGCUAACACGUGUAUUUUUCACUUUUGAAUUCCGCUUGGCACUGCUGACCGUACCAACCAGAGGUGUCCGUGCCGGGUGCUCUCUUCCCGUGGUUUGUUGCCUACGUGGGACCUCUGCUGUCCUUGUGUGGGGACAGAGCGGAGGGGAGCACUGAGACCUGAGCACUCAGCUCCUGGUCUGUGCCAUCUGUACGAAGCGGCUGAUCCAAGCUUUCCUAACACUUGUAGAGAGCUGGUGGUGACGCUGGAAUAGGCCGUCUGCUUCCUGGUACUAGGAGCCCAGCGCCAGGUGACCGUCACUUCCCCAGGCCUGCUUUCUGUCUUCACCGAACUCUUCCUUCUCUCUUCACGUAGCUCUGUGUUUUGAUCACUGUUUUGAUCACUGAUGCCUAACGCAUCAACAUUGCAGUGAGGCACAGUACAUCCCAAAACCUCACUGGGGAUGGCUCAUCGUGAGGCUGCUUCUGGAACGACUCACCUCAGAGUGGCGCAGCGGGAAGGCCGAAGGGAGCCAGGCCGAGUGCUGGCUGGGCACACCAAGGGGACAGGCAGUCGGUCUGCACGGCUCCGCGCUCCUGCAUCAGCAGCCCCUCCAGGUCUGUCAGGGCAGCUCUCGUCAUUUGCUCCUGCUCUGCUCACAGUAGAGAUCUCCAACCAAGGCUAAAAUGAAUCUCCUGCAAUACUUAAAUUCCUGCAAGCGUUAUAGGUUCUUUCAGAAAACAAAGGCAGGGCAUCAGUUUUAUUCUUGUUUUGCUGUGUUUCGUACUACUGUUGCCGCACUGCUCGUAGGGUGAGCAUCCAGCAAGGGCACGCUGCACCCUUGUGGACGGCAUGCUGCGUCUGAGCCAUGGGUUGCCUCGCAGAUAGCGGCAAACACUCGAGCACUGAUUGUUCAGUGCAAGCUCCUCUGCAGCGAGGCGUGUCCCAGCAGAGCCAGCCAUGUCCCUGUGAGGUCAGCGCUCUGGCACCAGCUGUGGCUUGCUGAUCACUGAUGUCACCGAGAACCUGCUUGGAUUGUUUUCUUUCUCUUGCACGUUAUCAUGCUUAAAAUACUUACGUUGAAUGGAUUACUGGUUGAGUUCAUGGAAUACAUACUGAUAGCUGGAAGGGUAGAGUGGUGGUACGUUGCUGAUCAGUCAAUUAGUGAAUCUUUUAGCUUACAAUGAAGAUAAUGUUGUAGAGCACCUACAACGGGAAUCUUGUGUCAGCUGGGCUUCUAGGUUCCUGUGAUUUGGUUCACAGUCCAUGCACUGCUAAAAUGAGACUCGGUGUUUCCUGUUAGUAAAGCACAUUUGGUUAUCAGAACUUCAGGACUUCCUUUGUGUCAGAACAUCUUAGUGAUGAGCCUUGACAGUAAAGGUUCUGUAUAUCAACAACUGUAUAGCUGAGAUAUUGAACGUAAGUUAUCAAAAGGCUUUUUGCUCUCCAUUAAAAGGCCAGCAGUCAGAGGAGGCACAGAACUGUUGGUGUCAAAUCCUCCCCCAGCUGAGCAUCAGAGUGAUGAAGGGGAGCAAAUCUCAGGCGUUGCAAGCAUUUCUUCCCUAAAGUGACACUGUAUCUUCCCUGCUGAUUUCUUGGAUCUUUUGUGACCUACCUGGGUGCUGUGACAUAGCUGUACUUUUGCGAAAGCGGCACGAGUAGCAGUCCCAGCUGCAACAGUUGGAAAUGCUAUUGCUUUUUGCACAUUGGGGCUCAAGAUUAAAGUUGUCUCGGUGAUAGCUUUAGCUGUUUAAAAUAUUUACUCUUAUUAUGCUUCUAUUGUGCAACAGCGAGACAUUGUGUCUGUCAAAUGCUCCCUGCACUUGCUGCCUGAAAGAAUGACAUAGCCUUAGGAAAUUACGGGGAGACUAAAAAAAGAGAAGUGCUUAUGCUGGCUGGGAGGGCUCGCCUGCCAUUUGUCAGUGUCUUUGGGAGCUAGGGCUCGCUUGUGAAAAUUCCCUACAAACAAACGCUUCACCCAUGAAAAAUACCAGGUGCCUGUGACUCCUGCCCUUCCUGUUGAAGGAUUACUGGAGCUUUCUUGCUCUUUAAAUCUCAUUUAUGGUAUUGGGGCUUUAGCGUGCUUCUUCUGGGUCGAAUUUAGCCUUUAAACUUCUAAAAACUUGAUUGUCAUUGCCAUGUAACAAUAGUUUCUUCUGUGCUUAAACUUACAGGAACAAGGAAUUCCCUGGUUGUGUUCCCAACUGCUGGGCUUGGAACAGGAAGCUGCCUGUAACACUGGCACUGCUGUACUUGGUACACUCAGAUCUGAACUUCUAUGAAGCAGCAAAAUCAGAGAAUGAAGUGCUUUGUUUGGGGUGCCCUCUUGCAGGGGGCAAAGAAGCCAUUGCCUCCCCCGUGGUAGCGCGGAGUGGACCCAGAUCGUGCCAGGAGAUCCAAGAGGACUGACUCCAGAACAGUCCCUUCAUCUUCUUCGCUAUGGAAACAACAACAAACUUGAUGGGAAGAAAACAGAGAAAAAACACCAGGCACCAACAUGAAUAAAUGUUUCAUGAUCAAACAUAGUAAUGGCUGAAAAGCGUGAGAAACUCGAACGCGUAGCCCACCUGCUGGCUCGAAAGGAACUGUCCAGUCCUCCCAGGCAUUGCAUACACUGAACUUUCUCAUUACUUUGAAAGAGGACGCUGGCACUAUAAACGUCAAACACGGUUUCCAAGAGGAUUUCAGAAUUUCACUAUAAAUACAGGUUUUCUGGUCUAUGCAGAGCUUUUUUAGCCAUUUGGUGCAGGUGACCUCAGCCCUACUCAGAGGAACAGCUGCAAGGAAAACCCAGUAUCAAGUUCUAAACUUAUCUGAAGAAUAAAUACAACGUUUGGAGCUGCUCUGCCCGGACUAUUCUUGUGGAGACCAACAAACCAAAGAAAUCCAGUGCCUGGAUCGAGGUACCGUAAAUUUGUAAAGAUCUCAGGGACAAGACUUGUACAUAUGUUAAGAGGAUGCAGACAUCCUGGCUCUUGGCCUUAAACUUUUAACAACAUCCAUUCAUCAUUUUUCAAUAAAUGAGGAAUUAUCAAAGUAAAUUUACCAGGUGAUUAUUUCACUGUGUCUCAUGCUCAGAAUAAAUGCAAGAUAAUUCAUGAAGUCUGUCUACAGCCUCAGCUGCUGAUCUGAGUUCAGUUCCUGGUAACCCUGUUCUCAGAACAGAGGCUGAAAACAAAAUUGAUUAAAAUAUAUAAGUAAACAAGCAAAAACGAUGACUACUCUAAAAUAUUUAUUUACUCUUAUGUUCUUAGCAGCAAGCCUAAUGACCAAUUUUCACUGAAAAGUAUACACAGUUUUAAAACUGCAUGUGAUUAUACGUAGAAGGGUGCACAUAAAAAUAAUAUCAAAACAAACUAUUCCAGAUCUUAUUAGAUGCCAAAAAGCAAGACAGACAAAAUCUGUAACAGAAACAUCAGGAAAUGCUGCUGUUCAGGGAACAUGUCUCACCACGGGGAAAUUUUCUAGCACUUAAAUGACCUUUGGUCUCCAGGUUAAUCAGCAUUUCUGUAUGCCUCUACACAACCUUUUUCCACCUAUACAACUUAAGUAUUGAGUGUGUUUGAUACGCAUGUACGUUCUGUAUGUAGGGCUACACUCUAACAUAGCUUUUAGCCUUUUAGUGGACUAACUGCUUGCACGUUUGCCCUGAGGUAACAAGAACAGGUUGAAACCGGACAGAAUAUGUUCUAAUAUAAACCAGAAUGUCCGAUCGUUUUCUUUUUUUUUUUUUGUGAAAUCAGACGUCUGAUCAAGAUGCUCUUCCGUUCUAUUGUUAUGCGAAUGAACUCUGAUGAAAAGUACUUCCACAAGCAUUGGUUUCCAUGACGAAUAAUGCCUUGGGUAUUUUUUUGUAUACAUGCUCUUACCUCUGUUAAUUAGGCAUCUCUUCCUUCUCUGCUGGAGUCCUAACUGGACGCUAAAAAGAAAUAGAUGCAAUUAAUGACUAGUCAUGUACAUAUCAGCAAUAAAUUAGGCCAGUACAGAACAUCAUUCAAAGUUGAAUAUUUCACAGAAUACAUACAUGAGUCACUUUUGUGUGUUUUCCUUCAAAUAUGAGUGCAGCGCAUGUCCCUGGGAGCAGAGGAGUAAUAGAGCAUCCACAAAAAUAGGUUCCAAAUGAAGUGCUGGUUUGGGAAAUGUCUGCUUAGACACCACCUGCACACUGGAGUGGAGUCAACUGUUGAAUAAGCAGUCUGCUAGCAGCUUGGACUGACGACAAGGUGCUGAUGAAGGCUGAGGAUCAAAGCCAAGUGUCGGGGACAGCAAACUUAAUCAAUGAACUGACAGUUUGUGAAAGUUCAGUAGUGCUCUUCUGGUGUUUUUUGGAUGAAGCUGAGGAAGAGAUUUGGUCUUUGGCAGCUGGUUGAGCAAACUUAAUUAAACUUUACUGUCUGCUUUACUGUAAUAGGCAUCUAAAAAGCUGGAAAUCACAAUCUGGAAGAAGAAAUUCUGCUGGAGGUUGCUUUUACUGGAGUGAUGGCUGGCUGUACGCAGUGUCUUACAGGAGUGGGUCUGUAUUAAACAGUCCAUAGCAACAGGUGGUGAAGUUGUUGUUUCUUGGACAUGAAGGCCACUUUCAGUGACAGAGAGACGCCAUUAAUGAUCAGCUGUCUAAGUACCUACUGAUUAACAGCUAACAGCUCAGCUAUUAAAUAUUUUUCAGUCCUGUGAAAAUUUUUCCCCCGUGAAAUUUCAGUGGAAAAAGCCCUUUGCCUUUCUCAGCAGACCACCUACUGUGCCAGUCUUGACAAGGAGCUGGAGACUGAAUUGCCUGUUCCCCCCAUAGGUGUCACUGGAGGACUAAGCAUCUGAUGUGCUUCCUGAGACCUACCUUCAUUUAAAACUAUCAUCUAAGUUACUGACUACUUUUUUUUUAAUGGCUAAUAUUUGCAUAAUGUAGUACUAGCCUUCUGAAGUCCACCUGAGUUAUAGUUCAUCUUCCGUGGCCCCUGUCCUACUCAUUACCCAGCAGUGAAGCAGUGAGUUACUGCCUGUUUGGAUGAGGAAUAUGCAAUAGUAAGAUUCAGUAAUACAAUGCAAGCUAUAUCCCUAACACAAGACCAAGUUCCAGGUUCCACAGAGAUCAGCUAUGAAGAGAUAUUUAUCUAACUAACUAUAGGCAAUUCUUAAAGCACCUUAUGCAGUUUUUGCAGUCUUGUACUUAUUUUUAGAAGCUGGAUGACUAAAUCUGUGGGACGUGGCACAUAAGGUGCCAUAAUGUAACUGAACUAGAAGGCAGAUUUUUCAAUCUCGUUUUCAGAAACAGCUAAGCAAUGCUCAUAGAGGUAGUUCACAUGUCUAAAAGAUGCAGAUAGGCAUUCUGUAGGUUUUUAAAAAAUGGGUGUGUGCCACAAAAUAGGGAUGCUAAAUGCCUGUAAAGGCCUCACUUGUCUGCUAGCUUUCCAAAUCAGAUAUGAGCCUAACUUACAGAUGAAGUUUCCCAUAGGCAACAGGCUACUUCUAGUUCAGCACUACAGCACUUUCAGGAAAGCUGGCAAGGAAAACCCUAAGUAACCCCCAAUAUUCUUGGCUGCUCACAUUUGAAAAUGGAGCCUUGGUCCCCAAAUCAAGGAUGUGUUUUCAUUAAAUUUUAAUAAAGCUUUAUUGUUGUAGAGCUGAUGGCUGACUUACUUAUAUCCCUCAUUGGAAAAAAGAUAUUAAAUGCCUAUGGACAAGACCAUAUAUGUAGUAUACAGUAACGAGAUGAAUUAGUGUCUGUACUUUUCCACAAAUGAACAUUCUACAUUCUUAGUGCUUAUUUAGUUGUCCUUAAAAUAGUUUCUCUGGUAGAAAUUUCACUCAGAGUGACAGAACUUCCUUUUUGUUUCAAAAUCUUUUUUUUUAAUGUACAUGCUAUUAAAUCCUAUAUUAAACUGUUGCAAAAUGAGACGUGGACUUCAAGAUAUCAUCAAACGCUAUAAUAGAAGACUGAACUUACUGCUGCUCUCAUUAAUAACUUUCAUUACAGUGGAAGCAAGAUCAAACUUAUCGAGAAACUAAAAAUUAUGUUCCUUACUUAUUUAUAGCAUAUAUUUUCUUCUCUCAUUAAAAAUCAAAUUCCUUUUCUAA